GUUGGUUCUUACUGAGCAUGCCGGACAUUACCUAAGAAGAUUGUCUCUAGUCAACUGACUCCACUCAAAAGCCAUUAAGCUCAAUCAACCCUUUUUGUUACAAAUGUCAUCAGGAAUGCUGCCGCCAGCAGCAGGUUACAGGAGAAUGGAUGCGCUUGCAUUUCUGUGUUCCCAGCACACUUCCAGGAGGCUGCAGUGAGAGCUGCUGCAGAGGGCACUGCCAGGAAAUUCUUCAAAAGUCUUUAUUCUGGACGGACAUCUUAUCUGAUUCCCACCAGUCAAACAGCCAGGGAAAGACACACAGUUAUAAUAUCUGGGAGAGGAUAUAAAAAUUCUGCUGGAUGGAUGAAGCCACCUGGGAGAAGCCAUCAUCUUCAGAACUCUGAGAGUCAUUCAAUGGGAUAUAAUCCUUCCCUUCCUAAGGAAGAUGUAGAAAAGUGGUUAUGUCUAAGGAGAACAGAGGGAUUUACACCUAAAAAGCAGCAACAAUGAGAGUGAAUAGAAUCUGGCGUGUAUUAUGGAAACCUGGCUGGAUGCUCCUAUCCUUGCGGCCAUGUGUCCUGCUGGGCUCCUGAAAAAAAUAGGGUGGUUGCUUACAGCUGUGAAAACACACACUUCUGAGGAAUAACGGAUAGAUGAAUUUUACGAGGAAAGGAAGUCGAUCAAACCAUUUUGUAUCUGAAGGUGAUACAACACCUUCACACCUUUCAUCCUCUGGAUAGCAAAGACAAGCCGUGUAAGGACACCCUCUGCAGUCAUCCAACCCAUUUAACUGUGUGUAGUCUGCAUCAACAUAUGCAGUUUAAUAUACUGCACCAGAUGUCCCAGGGUACAAGAUACACAAACAGGCAAGGAGGACACCUGACUAGAAUCAAACAGAUGCUAAGCUUGAUUCAGCUGAAGGAUUCUUGACAUUUUAACACAAACAUAAAAACGGGAGAGCAGGACAUGCAGCCGAAUUUGUCUGUGUCUUGAAUCUGCACAAUAUGUGUUCCACAGCUCUCCUGAAACCUUGAGAUGUCAUAUGAUGUCCCCUUUGCUUGCCCAUGAGCCCAUGGACAGGAAGAAGGGCCUCCAUUUGGCCCAGUAACUUACUUUAAUUUAGAAGAAGGCCUUUAAAACCUCAAAAGAUGAAAGCUCUGCAAUAAUCCUGGGGGAGCAAAAAACUUCAUAGGCUCCAGGACACCUGUCAGUGGCAUAUUCUGGUGCUCUCAUCCUGGUGCCAUCUUUAAGUCUUUGGCAAAAUUCUUCAUUGAUCUGGACUCCAGGGUAUGGGGAGGCACCUGAAGAAGAUAAUCUACAUAUUAUCAGGAAGGAAGGAGGAAAGCAUAGGUGCACCUGGAAGAAUGCCCCAUUUGCCCUUUUAAACUUCAAGACUGCAGAAAAAAACAAAACAACGUCAGGGUAACGAAGUGGAGUGUUCACCUUUCUGGAAGCUAGAAACUCCAUGCCACGUGCCACCUGGAAGCUAUAGCAGAUCAGAUCUUCCAUUGUCAGAGGGCUUUGCCACAAGUCAUCCACUGUACAAAUGUGUAAGAAAGAAAGUUACAUGCUGAAGGUAAUUGGAGAGAUUUCCAUAUUUACAGAAUUCUACAAUCACCAUGAGGGGACCUGAAGUAGAGAAGCCGAGAAGAAAGUGUGUUUGAAAGGCAGAAUUAAGUGUAUGAAACUUUGGGUUGCCCUCUAAUAUUAAUUACAAACAUAGGACAAGGACUAGAAUGGGAGAUGGAAUUGUUGCAAAACUGGAAAAUCCUUU